UUAAGUUAUUAAGGGCGCACGGUGGAUGCCUUGGCACUAGAAGCCGAUGAAGGACGUUACUAACGACGAUAUGCUUUGGGGAGCUGUAAGUAAGCGUUGAUCCAGAGAUUUCCGAAUGGGGAAACCCAGCAUGAGUUAUGUCAUGUUAUCGAUAUGUGAAUACAUAGCAUAUCAGAAGGCAGACCCGGAGAACUGAAACAUCUUAGUACCCGGAGGAAGAGAAAGAAAAAUCGAUUCCCUGAGUAGCGGCGAGCGAAACGGGAAGAGCCCAAACCAACAAGCUUGCUUGUUGGGGUUGUAGGACACUCUAUACGGAGUUACAAAAGUAUAUAUUAGACGAAUCAUCUGGAAAGUUGAAUCAAAGAAGGUAAUAAUCCUGUAGUCGAAAAUAUAUACUCUCUUGAGUGGAUCCUGAGUACGACGGAGCACGUGAAAUUCCGUCGGAAUCUGGGAGGACCAUCUCCUAAGGCUAAAUACUCUCUAGUGACCGAUAGUGAACCAGUACCGUGAGGGAAAGGUGAAAAGUACCCCGGAAGGGGAGUGAAAGAGAACUUGAAACCGUGUGCUUACAAGUAGUCAGAGCCCGUUAAUGGGUGAUGGCGUGCCUUUUGUAGAAUGAACCGGCGAGUUACGAUUUGAUGCAAGGUUAAGCAGCUAAUGUGGAGCCGUAGCGAAAGCGAGUCUGAAUAGGGCGUUUAGUAUUUGGUCGUAGACCCGAAACCAGGUGAUCUACCCUUGGUCAGGUUGAAGUUCAGGUAACACUGAAUGGAGGACCGAACCGACUUACGUUGAAAAGUGAGCGGAUGAACUGAGGGUAGCGGAGAAAUUCCAAUCGAACUUGGAGAUAGCUGGUUCUCUCCGAAAUAGCUUUAGGGCUAGCCUCAAGUGAUGAUUAUUGGAGGUAGAGCACUGUUUGGACGAGGGGCCCUUCUCGGGUUACCGAAUUCAGACAAACUCCGAAUGCCAAUCAAUUUAACUUGGGAGUCAGAACAUGGGUGAUAAGGUCCGUGUUCGAAAGGGAAACAGCCCAGACCACCAGCUAAGGUCCCAAAAUAUAUGUUAAGUGGAAAAGGAUGUGGCGUUGCCCAGACAACUAGGAUGUUGGCUUAGAAGCAGCCAUCAUUUAAAGAGUGCGUAAUAGCUCACUAGUCGAGUGACACUGCGCCGAAAAUGUACCGGGGCUAAACAUAUUACCGAAGCUGUGGAUUGUCCGUAGGACAAUGGUAGGAGAGCGUUCUAAGGGCGUCGAAGCAUGAUCGCAAGGACAUGUGGAGCGCUUAGAAGUGAGAAUGCCGGUGUGAGUAGCGAAAGACGGGUGAGAAUCCCGUCCACCGAUUGACUAAGGUUUCCAGAGGAAGGCUCGUCCGCUCUGGGUUAGUCGGGUCCUAAGCUGAGGCCGACAGGCGUAGGCGAUGGAUAACAGGUUGAUAUUCCUGUACCACCUAGUAUCGUUUUAAUCGAUGGGGGGGACGCAGUAGGAUAGGCGAAGCGUGCUAUUGGAUUGCACGUCCAAGCAGUAAGACUGAGUGUUAGGCAAAUCCGGCACUCAUAAGGUCAAGCUGUGAUGGGGAGAGGAAAUUGUUUCCUCGAGUCGUUGAUUUCACACUGCCAAGAAAAGCCUCUAGAUAGAUAACAGGUGCCCGUACCGCAAACCGACACAGGUAGUCAAGAUGAGAAUUCUAAGGUGAGCGAGCGAACUCUCGUUAAGGAACUCGGCAAAAUGACCCCGUAACUUCGGGAGAAGGGGUGCUCUUUAGGGUUAACGCCCAGAAGAGCCGCAGUGAAUAGGCCCAAGCGACUGUUUAUCAAAAACACAGGUCUCUGCUAAACCGUAAGGUGAUGUAUAGGGGCUGACGCCUGCCCGGUGCUGGAAGGUUAAGAGGAGUAGUUAGCUUCUGCGAAGCUACGAAUCGAAGCCCCAGUAAACGGCGGCCGUAACUAUAACGGUCCUAAGGUAGCGAAAUUCCUUGUCGGGUAAGUUCCGACCCGCACGAAAGGCGUAACGAUUUGGGCACUGUCUCAACGAGAGACUCGGUGAAAUCAUAGUACCUGUGAAGAUGCAGGUUACCCGCGACAGGACGGAAAGACCCCGUGGAGCUUUACUGUAGCCUGAUAUUGAAAUUCGGCACAGCUUGUACAGGAUAGGUAGGAGCCUUUGAAACGUGAGCGCUAGCUUACGUGGAGGCAUUGGUGGGAUACUACCCUAGCUGUGUUGGCUUUCUAACCCGCACCACUUAUCGUGGUGGGAGACAGUGUCAGGUGGGCAGUUUGACUGGGGCGGUCGCCUCCUAAAAGGUAACGGAGGCGCUCAAAGGUUCCCUCAGAAUGGUUGGAAAUCAUUCAUAGAGUGUAAAGGCAUAAGGGAGCUUGACUGCGAGACUUACAAGUCGAGCAGGGUCGAAAGACGGACUUAGUGAUCCGGUGGUUCCGCAUGGAAGGGCCAUCGCUCAACGGAUAAAAGCUACCCCGGGGAUAACAGGCUUAUCUCCCCCAAGAGUUCACAUCGACGGGGAGGUUUGGCACCUCGAUGUCGGCUCAUCGCAUCCUGGGGCUGUAGUCGGUCCCAAGGGUUGGGCUGUUCGCCCAUUAAAGCGGUACGCGAGCUGGGUUCAGAACGUCGUGAGACAGUUCGGUCCCUAUCCGUCGUGGGCGUAGGAAAUUUGAGAGGAGCUGUCCUUAGUACGAGAGGACCGGGAUGGACAUACCUCUGGUGUACCAGUUGUCGUGCCAACGGCAUAGCUGGGUAGCUAUGUAUGGACGGGAUAAGUGCUGAAAGCAUCUAAGCAUGAAGCCCCCCUCAAGAUGAGAUUUCCCAACUUCGGUUAUAAGAUCCCUCAAAGAUGAUGAGGUUAAUAGGUUCGAGGUGGAAGCGUGGUGACACGUGGAGCUGACGAAUACUAAUCGAUCGAAGACUUAAUCAA
rnacentral:rRNA from 1 species